GACAGAGGGGGCAAGCGUUGCUCGGAAUUACUGGGCGUAAAGGGCGCGUAGGCGGAAUGGCAAGUCGGUCGUGAAAUCCUUCGGCUCAACCGAAGAACGUCGAUCGAAACUGCCGUUCUUGAGGAUUGCAGAGGAGACUGGAAUUCCCGGUGUAGCGGUGAAAUGCGUAGAUAUCGAGAGGAACACCUGCGGCGAAUGCGGGUUGCUGGGCUGACACUGACGCUGAUGUGCGAAAGCUAGUGGAGCGAACGGG
rnacentral:rRNA from 1 species